UGGUGGAUUGAUUUGUCUGGUUUAUUCCGAUAACGAACGAGACUCCAACCUACUAAAUAGUGGUCGGGUUUAUUGGUCUGAAUCACUUCUUUGAGGGACAAGCAGUGUUUAGCUGCAUGAGAAGGAGCAAUAACA
rnacentral:rRNA from 1 species